rnacentral:tRNA from 4 species
GGGCGGAUAGCUCAGCGGUAGAGCACCUGCCUUACACGCAGGGGGUCACAGGUUCGAAACCUGUUCCGCCCACCA